UUCUACAAAAUGGAUUUUUUAUUAAAUGAAAGAAAAAUCUUUUUUGUGGAUUUCAUUUAUGAAAUAGAAUAUACAAAAACUUUACAUUAGUCCUCUCAAUUGAAUAAAAUCCUAUUGCAGUUUAAUCUAGCACUCAUUUUCUCUCCGAGCACAAUGCAUGAAGACAUUCUCCAUGGUGUAAAGCACUGAGCUACAACAGCUUAUGGAGAGGCAAGGUUAAAAAUCUACACACUGCUCUUCUAACAAAUCCAAACUAGAGCACAGAGGAAGAUGUCUGAGAGUUUACAAUGCCUCUGAUCACAUUCUCUAUAUCUAUACAAAUAUAUAUUGUAUUCGUUUAAAAAAAUGUUUUAUCUUGUAUGUAUGUGAAAAGCGCACAAUUACAGGCUAUUUAUUUUCUCACGCACUAUGGGGUUUUUGUCCAGAGAUGGUGUGAUAUUCCCCCAAGCCACUUUGAGACCCUAUCCCAUACCCCCCCAAAAAAUCAUAAAAUAAAAUCUUUCCUACUAUAUGGAGCUCAGAGAAGAGCAUUACAUGUCUUUGGCAUAUCACAACAAUUUCCCAUUAAUACUUGGUUUCCUUUUCUAAAAACAAACAAAAAAACCAAAAUGGUGCAUUUUCUUUAGUAAAAUAAAUUUAAAACAAUCAAAAGAUGUGUAGAAUGACAAACCUGUGAACCAGCAAAAUAUACAUAUGUCUCCGGAAAAUGAAAAAUAUAAUAAAAUACAGAAAGAAUAAGAUCACACAUACAUUGUAAGUCCAUUUAUGACCGCAUGUCCUCGAUUGAUUAAACAUUUCCCUAGUGGGAACAGAGUGUCAUAUGAAGUCAUUGAGUUCAGCUUCAAUAGCAGCUGCCAUUUCAUCAGCUUCAGAACUGCUACCUUCCUCGUCCUCAUUGCUGGAUUCACUGCCAUCAUCUUCCUCUUCAUCUUCCAGCUUUCUCUUAUGACCUCUAGGGAAAGCAGAGAGGUUUAAAAUGAUUAAAAGGUAAGCUUAAACUAUAAACAUGGUUAUAGUGGCCAGAUUUUUAUAACAGUUAAAGAGUUACACAGCUUAUAACGAGAAUCAAUAAAUCUGUAUCUACAAUUGAAGAAAAAUAAAAGGAAACGUGGCAUUAACCAAGAACUAGACCAGGGUUUGACAAAAC